GACGAACGCUGGCGGCGUGCUUAACACAUGCAAGUCGAGCGGUAAGGCCCUUUCGGGGGUACACGAGCGGCGAACGGGUGAGUAACACGUGGGUGACCUGCCCUCAGCUCUGGGAUAAGCCUGGGAAACCGGGUCUAAUACUGGAUAUGACUCCAUGACGCAUGUUGUGGGGUGGAAAGCCUUGUGCGGCUGAGGAUGGGCCCGCGGCCUAUCAGCUUGUUGGUGGGGUGAUGGCCUACCAAGGCGACGAUCAGUAGCUGGUCUGAGAGGACGGCCAGCCACACUGGGACUGAGACACGGCCCAGACUCCUACGGGAGCAGCAGUGGGGAAUCUUGCGCAAUGGGACGAAAGCCUGACGCAGCGACGCCGCGUGAGGGAUGACGGCC
rnacentral:rRNA from 1 species